rnacentral:rRNA from 1 species
GACGAACGCUGGCGGCGCGCUUAACACAUGCAAGUCGAACGAUGAAGCUAGAGCUUGCUCUGGUGGAUUAGUGGCGAACGGGUGAGUAACACGUGAGUAACCUGCCCCGAACUCUGGGAUAACUGCUGGAAACGGUAGCUAAUACCGGAUAUGACCAAUGAAGGCAUCUUCUGUUGGUGGAAAGAAUUUCGGUUCGGGAUGGACUCGCGGCCUAUGAGCUUGUUGGUGAGGUAACGGCUCACCAAGGCGACGACGGGUAGCCGGCCUGAGAGGGUGAUCGGCCACACUGGGACUGAGACACGGCCCAGACUCCUACGGGAGGCAGCAGUGGGGAAUAUUGCACAAUGGGCGCAAGCCUGAUGCAGCAACGCCGCGUGAGGGACGACGGCCUUCGGGUUGUAAACCUCUUUUAGUAGGGAAGAAGCGAAAGUGACGGUACCUGCAGAAAAAGCACCGGCUAACUACGUGCCAGCAGCCGCCGUAC